ACCCUUGUAGCUAAGGUUAACCUAGUCUCUAGAGUGUUCUACAGAGAGAUAUUUAUAUGUUUGUAAGUAAGUGAAAGAAAGAGAAAUAAUAAAAAAGUUUCAUCUUUGUCUAACUGAAGGUGAAAUCUCUAAGUUGGGCCACUGUGAAGCCCAAGUGAAGAAAGGUGUUAAGGAGAAGAAUGGCCCAAUUCCAAAUAAGCCUAGUCAACAAAAUCAGAUGAAGACAAAGAUGACUGUACCUGUACCUGCAAACACAAGCAAUGGAGAAAAAACAACGCUCCUUCAAAACCGAUUUCAAGCUCUACAAGAUAAGAAUGAUGACUAGUCAAUCUACAGCUGGAAAAGGAUGACCUAGAUUCUAGAUUGUUCCUAUUGUCUCUAUAAAACACAAUGUAUCUCUUUGCAAGAGUUUUAUCGAGUCAAAAAUAAAGAAAGCAAUUUUCCAUUUUUCUCAAAAUCUUUUCACUAACCUUAUACACUUUCUACACCUUCUUCUACGCAAAUGGCUGAUGCUCCUGCCCCAGUCAUCGUUUUGCCAGAGGUUUUGACACGUUCGGGACGAAAUUGGAGAAAAUAAAUCAUUCUGGAGCUAAACCGAAGAUUUGGAGCUGAAGAGACAAAAUCGGAUUCGAACCAAGGCAUUGGUGUCGCUCGACACCAUACGCGGUCCAGCAAGGAAUCUCGACGGUUUAGAGUUUUAAAGCCCGCAAAAUUUACCCAGAAGACUUCCCUAUUUGUAAUUUUAGUCCCUGCACGUUUUUGGAGACUUUAUAAAUAGUUUUUAGGGUUA